rnacentral:rRNA from 1 species
UGGGGAAUUUUGGACAAUGGGCGAAAGCCUGAUCCAGCAAUGCCGCGUGUGUGAAGAAGGCCUUCGGGUUGUAAAGCACUUUUGUCCGGAAAGAAAUCCUUGGCUCUAAUACAGUCGGGGGAUGACGGUACCGGAAGAAUAAGCACCGGCUAACUACGUGCCAGCAGCCGCGGUAAUACGUAGGGUGCAAGCGUUAAUCGGAAUUACUGGGCGUAAAGCGUGCGCAGGCGGUUUGCUAAGACCGAUGUGAAAUCCCGGGCUCAACCUGGGAACUGCAUUGGUGACUGGCAGGCUAGAGUAUGGCAGAGGGGGGUAGAAUUCCACGUGUAGCAGUGAAAUGCGUAGAGAUGUGGAGGAAUACCGAUGGCGAAGGCAGCCCCCUGGGCCAAUACUGACGCUCAUGCACGAAAGCGUGGGGAGCAAACAGGAUUAGAUACCCUGGUAGUCCACGCCCUAAACGAUGUCAACUAGCUGUUGGGGCCUUCGGGCCUUGGUAGCGCAGCUAACGCGUGAAGUUGACCGCCUGGGGAGUACGGUCGCAAGA